rnacentral:misc_RNA from 1 species
CCCUAUAACUUAAUCU